CCUACGGGAGGCAGCAGUGGGGAAUAUUGGACAAUGGGCGCAAGCCUGAUCCAGCAAUGCCGCGUGAGUGAUGAAGGCCUUAGGGUCGUAAAGCUCUUUUACCAGGGAUGAUAAUGACAGUACCUGGAGAAUAAGCUCCGGCUAACUCCGUGCCAGCAGCCGCGGUAAUACGGAGGGAGCUAGCGUUGUUCGGAAUUACUGGGCGUAAAGCGUACGUAGGCGGUUAUUCAAGUCAGAGGUGAAAGCCCGGGGCUCAACCCCGGAACGGCCUUUGAAACUAGGUAGCUAGAAUCUUGGAGAGGUCAGUGGAAUUCCGAGUGUAGAGGUGAAAUUCGUAGAUAUUCGGAAGAACACCAGUGGCGAAGGCGACUGACUGGACAAGUAUUGACGCUGAGGUACGAAAGCGUGGGGAGCAAACAGGAUUAGAUACCCUGGUAGUCCACGCCGUAAACGAUGAUAACUAGCUGUUCGGGCACUUGGUGCUUGAGUGGCGCAGCUACGACAUUAAGUUAUACCGUCCGUCGGGUAGGUACGGUCGCGAGAAGUUAAACGUACGAAAGUAGAAGUUAAGUACGGUCGUUGAGUACGUUGCGAACGGACGACGACGAGGGAGGAGG
rnacentral:rRNA from 1 species